rnacentral:ribozyme from 13 species
AUUUGUACAUUUUUUGCUUUUUUUGUUUUUCGUUUUUUCUUUCUACCACUUCCUUUUCGUUCAUUCAACAUGGCUGUAAAAGAAGCUGCAGCGAGAGCAGAAUUUCCAGAA